GUGUGUGUCUUUAAAAACCGUUUCUAAAAUAAAGCCCCCUAGGCUUCUCUCUUCAAACCCUUUAACCAACUCAUCUUGACAAAGACUGACUCUCCCCUUAGACUUUGAAAGGACAAAUCGAGAAGAGAAUGGAAGGCUUCGUUGACCUAUCUGGACGGCCAAGCCCUGCGCAGUGCAGACCUCCAGGAGCUGUAAUUUACAUAUCGGCAAGAAUGAAGUCAGCCCGUUACAGUGGGAAGAACCAAGACUUUGGAAUAAAAAGACCCAAGAUUAAAGAGAGCGGAAAACAACAGGAAUAAAUGACCGAGGACUUGACCCUGGGAGAAGACGGAGAAGAAUGAGACCCCAUGCAACGUUUACUGUGGGGGCAGGAAGCGACAUUUACUGUGGGGGCAAGAAGAUCUUGUCGAGUUCAUGCUUCAGCUUCAAGCCCUUGCAACGCCAGCCUGUGAUCACAGGUGCUAAUUAAAUUAAUAAACGGCCCUGUGUUCGAACAUGUGCCCCACACCUGCUGUGUCACCAGGCGCAGUUUGUUGCCUGGUGUGAUUGGAACGGUUUCACCACUUAACGAAGGCAAAAAGAAAAUAACAGCAAGCAGGAAAAGCCGAAUUCUAGCCAAUAUGUCCCUAAU